rnacentral:rRNA from 1 species
AUGAACGCUAGCGACAGGCCUAACACAUGCAAGUCGAGGGGCAGCACAAGGAGCAAUCUGAGGUGGCGACCGGCGCACGGGUGAGUAACACGUAUGCAACCUGCCUGUAAGCGGGGAAUAACCCGUUGAAAGACGGACUAAUACCGCAUAAUACUAAAUUACUGCAUGGUAAUUUAUUUAAACAUUUAUGGCUUACAGAUGGGCAUGCGCAUGAUUAGCUAGUUGGAGAGGUAACGGCUCCCCAAGGCAACGAUCAUUAGGGGUUCUGAGAGGAAGGUCCCCCACACUGGUACUGAGACACGGACCAGACUCCUACGGGAGGCAGCAGUGAGGAAUAUUGGUCAAUGGACGAGAGUCUGAACCAGCCAAGUCGCGUGCAGGAAGAAUGUCCUAUUGGAUUGUAAACUGCUUUUGCGAGGGGAAUAAAGUGCAUCACGUGUGAUGUUUUGUAUGUACUCUGCGAAUAAGGAUCGGCUAACUCCGUGCCAGCAGCUGC